AAGACAACUAACCUGUAACAAAGGCUGUCUCCCUGACCAAACUUUAGUCAGACUCCUCUGAGCCUUCUUUUCAACUAGGCCUGGACCUUGGCCCCCAUCUUGUCUUUGGUCUGCCCAGCCAGUCUUAGCAAAGAAUCCUGCCAAGUCAUCCCUCCACUCUUUGUAUCUGAUCAAGUACCUCACCCCGCUUCCUUGAUGUCUAAGCCCUUAGCCUGUCUUUAGCAAGAAUCCCUACGCUUGAUGUCUCCCAUUAGUAAUUUCCCAUCCACUGACCCCUCAUCCUGCUCUCCCAAAGUGCUGGGAUUACAGGUGUGAGCGACGGUGCCUGGCCUGAUCUUAUUUUUAAAAGAGCCUUUACAGAUGUAAUUAGUUAAGGAUCUUGAGAUGCAAUCAUUAUGGAUGUAAAUUUAGGUGGGCCCUAAAUCUAACAAUUGGUGUCCUUAUAUGAUGAGGAGAUAUCACAGACGCAAAGACACAGGGCAUAUGACCAUGUGAAGAGGAAGGCAGAGGGUAGGGCGAUGCUGCCGUAAGACAAGGAUGCCUGGGCCACCAGAGGCUAGGAAGGGGCAAGGAAGGCCCUCCCCCUUAGAGCCUUCAGGGGGAGCAUAGCUCUCCUGACACUUUGAUUUCCAACUUCUAGCCUCCAGAAUGGUGAGAGAGAAUUUUCCACUGUUUUUAAGCCAACCAGCUUGUGACACUUGGUUAAUGGCAGCCCUAGGAAACAAGUGCACUCUAACAUGUGAAAUCACUCAACAGAUAUUUAUUGGUUCCUAAUAAUGUGUCUGAAAAGGACUUAGUAUAAAAUCCAAAGAAGAGGGACAUGGAGGCUGUAGAGAGGUAUUAGAGCUGGGACAUUAGGAAGCCUAAAGAACCAUCUGUCCCACUGUCCUGCACCCCGAUGGGUGCCUCUGGAAGGGCCUGGAGAAACCAUGGAAUUUAUGUUCUUUGGGCUCCCUUUUUGUCGGGUUAAGACAGGGACUCACUCUGUCAGCCAGGCUGGAGUGCAGUGGCGCAAUCACGGCUCACUGCAGCCUCAAUCUGCCAGGCUUAAGCAAUCCUCCCAUCUCAG
rnacentral:lncRNA from 10 species